ACAGCAUUCGGACCGUCGGUCUACGGAGCAAUAUCACCCGCUCGGUGGAAGACAUUUCCUUCGUCGU
rnacentral:pre_miRNA from 1 species